UACAGAGGUCUCAAGCGUUGUUCGGAUUCAUUGGGCGUAAAGGGUGCGUAGGCGGCGCGGUAAGUCGGGUGUGAAAUCUCGGAGCUUAGCUCCGAAACUGCAUUCGAUACUGCCGUGCUUGAGGACUGGAGAGGAGACUGGAAUUUACGGUGUAGCGGUGAAAUGCGUAGAUAUCUGGAGGAACACCGGUGGCGAAGGCGGCGUUCUGGACUGCAACUGACACUGAGGAACGAAAGCCAGGGGAGCAAACGGG
rnacentral:rRNA from 1 species